GAUGAACGCUAGCUACAGGCUUAACACAUGCAAGUCGAGGGGUAACGAGAGGAAAGCUUGCUUUCCUUGUCGACGACCGGCGCACGGGUGAGUAACGCGUAUCCAACCUGCCCCCAACUAAGGAAUAACCUUGCGAAAGUAAGACUAAUACCUUAUAAUUUCCUCAGAUGCCAUCUGACGAGGAAUAAAGAUUUAUCGGUUGUGGAUGGGGAUGCGUCUGAUUAGCUUGUUGGCGGGGUAACGGCCCACCAAGGCAACGAUCAGUAGGGGUUCUGAGAGGAAGGUCCCCCACAUUGGAACUGAGACCCGGUCCAAACUCCUACGGGAGGCAGCAGUGGGGAAUAUUGGUCAAUGGGCGGAAGCCUGAACCAGCCAAGUAGCGUGCAGGAUGACGGCCCUAUGGGUUGUAAACUGCUUUUAUACAGGAAUAAAGUUAGCCACGUGUGGUUAUUUGUAGGUACUGUAUGAAUAAGGACCGGCUAAUUCCGUGCCAGCCGCCGCGGUAA
rnacentral:rRNA from 1 species